rnacentral:rRNA from 1 species
AUUGAACGCUGGCGGCAGGCCUAACACAUGCAAGUCGAGCGGGGUUUUCGGACCUAGCGGCGGACGGGUGAGUAAUGCGUAGGAAGCUACCCGAUAGAGGGGGAUACCAGUUGGAAACGACUGUUAAUACCGCAUAAUGUCUACGGACCAAAGUGUGGGACCUUCGGGCCACAUGCUAUCGGAUGCGCCUACGUGGGAUUAGCUAGUUGGUGGGGUAAUGGCUCACCAAGGCGACGAUCCCUAGCUGGUUUGAGAGGAUGAUCAGCCACACUGGAACUGAGACACGGUCCAGGCUCCUACGGGAGGCAGCAGUGGGGAAUAUUGGACAAUGGGCGCAAGCCUGAUCCAGCCAUGCCGCGUGUGUGAAGAAGGCCUUCGGGUUGUAAAGCACUUUCAGUAGGGAGGAAGGGUUGUGUGUUAAUAGCACAUAGCUUUGACGUUACUCGCAGAAGAAGCACCGGCUAACUCUGUGCCAGCCGCCGCAGUAAAAC